GUCUAUGGCCAUGCCGUCCUGAACAAGCCCGAUGUCUGAUCUCGGAAGCUAAGCAGGGUCAGGCUUGGUUAGUACUUGGAUGGGAUACCACCUGGGAAGACCAGAUGCUAUAAGCA
rnacentral:rRNA from 1 species